UAAUUUACUUGGAUGGGGGGAUCUCGUGAUCACAAAGGCGGGACCCCCACGGUGAGGCUUGUCCACUGCACUUCGGGACCGGCUGACCUAUGUGGCAGCUUCGAGUUGAAGUUCGCCAACAGCUAAAUUUUUGCGUGAGGGGCUGCGUUCACGCGACUUCAU
rfam:Heterorhabditis bacteriophora unplaced genomic scaffold Scaffold1265, whole genome shotgun sequence.